UGCGGAAAGGAUCAUUAUACGAAUGAACCCCCCCGCCCAAGGCUAACGCUGAAGGUGGGGUCCUCUUUUAAACCCGUGCAAUUAAGUGAAGUCUGAGCAUUAUUUACGAAAUAUGUCAAAACUUUCAACAACGGAUCUCUUGGUUCUGGCAUCUGAUGAAGAACGCAGCGAAAUGCGAUAAGUAAUGUGAAUWGCAGAAUUCAGUGAAUCAUCGAAUCUUUGAACGCACAUUGCGCCCUCUGGUAUUCCGGGGGGCAUGCCUGUUMGAGCGUCAUUACACCCCUCAAGCCUAGCUUGAUAUUGGGCUUGGCUAUUURAACAGCCAGCCUWARAAUGAGUGGCAGUACUAWCUCAGCCCUAAGCGCAGUAAAUAUUUUACGCUUGUGGGCCUGGUUUAAGUUUGCUUGCCAKAAGCUACCAAAUUCAAAGGUUGACCUCGGAUCAGGUAGGGAUACCCGCUGAACUUAAGCAUAUCAAUAAGACGGAGGAA
rnacentral:sRNA from 1 species